rnacentral:misc_RNA from 1 species
AACUGAUACUACCUGCGGGAACCUGCGGAGGGAUCAUUACCGAGUUUACAACUCCCAAACCCAAUGUGAACGUUACCAAACUGUUGCCUCGGCGGGAUCUCUGCCCCGGGUGCGUCGCAGCCCCGGACCAAGGCGCCCGCCGGAGGACCAACCAAAACUCUUUUGUAUACCCCCUCGCGGGUUUUUUAUACCUGAGCCAUCUCGGCGCCUCUCGUAGGCGUUUCGAAAAUGAAUCAAAAC